rnacentral:rRNA from 1 species
UACGAAGGGGGCUAGCGUUGUUCGGAUUCAUUGGGCGUAAAGGGUGCGUAGGUGGCGGGGCAAGUUUGGUGUGAAAUCCCGGGGCUCAACCCCGGAACUGCACUGAAUACUGCCUUGCUAGAGCACUGGAGAGGGAACUGGAAUUUACGGUGUAGCAGUGAAAUGCGUAGAUAUCGUAAGGAAGACCAGUGGCGAAGGCGAGUUCCUGGACAGUUGCUGACACUGAGGCACGAAGGCUAGGGGAGCAAACGGG